rnacentral:rRNA from 14 species
AUCAGAAGUGCGAAUGCUGACGUGAGUAACGACAAAGCGGGUGAAAAACCCGCUCGCUGAAAGACCAAGGGUUCCAGUCCAACGUUAAUCGGGGCUGGGUGAGUCGACCCCUAAGGCGAGGCCGAGAGGCGUAGUCGAUGGGAAAUUGGUUAAUAUUCCAAUACUUCUGUUUAAUGCGAUGAGAGGACGGAGAAGGUUAAGUCAGCCUGGCGUUGGUUGUCCAGGUGGAAGGUUGUAGGCAUGUAUCUUAGGCAAAUCCGGGGUACUCUAUGCUGAGAACUGAUAGCAAGCUGUACUUGUACAGUGAAGUGGCUGAUACCAUGCUUCCAGGAAAAGCCUCUAAGCUUCAGUCGUUGGACGACCGUACCGCAAACCGACACAGG